CAGGUAACCACGGCGAACGAUAGCCGUCGCUCCGCGAUCGAUGAAGAACGAGCAAACGCGAUACUUGGUGCUGCAGAAUGUAAGUCCCGCGAACCAACGGUUCGGCUAACGCAGUGCCGCUUCGCCUUCGCCGCCGGUCGGGCACGCCGCCUGCGUCACAA
rnacentral:rRNA from 1 species